GGACGAACGCCGGGCGGCGUGCUUAACACAUGCAAAGUCGAACGUGAUUUUUGUGGAACAUUCUUUCGGGAAUGGAAAUGAAAUGAAAGUGGCGAACGGGUGAGUAACACGUGAGCAACCUACCUUACACAGGGGGAUAGCCGUUGGAAACGACGAUUAAUACGUCAUGAGACCACAGAAUCGCAUGAUAUAGGGGUCAAAGAUUUAUCGGUGUAAGAAGGGCUCGCGUCUGAUUAGCUAGUUGGAAGGGUAAAGGCCUACCAAGGCGACGAUCAGUAGCCGGUCUGAGAGGAUGAACGGCCACAUUGGAACUGAGACACGGUCCAAACUCCUACGGGAGGCAGCAGUGGGGAAUAUUGCACCAUGGGGGGAACCCUGAUGCAGCGACGCCGCGUGAGCGAAGAAGGUUUUCGAAUCGUAAAGCUCUGUCCUAUGAGAAGAUAAUGACGGUAUCAUAGGAGGAAGCCCCGGCUAAAUACGUGCCAGCAGCCGCGGUAAUACGUAUGGGGCGAGCGUUGUCCGGAAUUAUUGGGCGUAAAGGGUACGUAGGCGGUUUUUUAAGUCAGGUGUGAAAGCGUGAGGCUUAACCUCAUUAAGCACUUGAAACUGGAAGACUUGAGUGAAGGAGAGGAAAGUGGAAUUCCUAGUGUAGCGGUGAAAUGCGUAGAUAUUAGGAGGAAUACCGGUGGCGAAGGCGACUUUCUGGACUUUUACUGACGCUCAGGUACGAAAGCGUGGGGAGCAAACAGG
rnacentral:rRNA from 1 species